GACAGCAGUAGCCGCGGUAAUACGGAGGGUGCAAGCGUUAAUCGGAAUUACUGGGCGUAAAGCGCACGCAGGCGGUCUGACAAGUCAGAUGUGAAAUCCCCGGGCUUAACCUGGGAACUGCAUUUGAAACUGUCAGGCUGGAGUCUUGUAGAGGGGGGUGGAAUUCCAGGUGUAGCGGUGAAAUGCGUAGAGAUCUGGAGGAAUACCGGUGGCGAAGGCGGCCCCCUGGACAAAGACUGACGCUCAGGUGCGAAAGCGUGGGGAGCAAACAGGAUUAGAUACCCGUGUAGUCCCUGUCUCUUAUAC
rnacentral:rRNA from 1 species